UGGAAUGGCAUCGGUAGUUAUUGUCUGAACCUCGUGCCCUCGUCUCUUACAGUUUGUGGGUGUUAACGUAUAUAAGACUUGACCAAUGUGUAAAUUAAUCUGAAAAUUACACAAUUGUAAAUUACAAAAUUUUAAUUACAUAUCGGGGCAAUCUCAAGGCACUCUGCUGUCCAUCGACGACGUCCUCUUGUCUCCGUUCGUUCUCAUGAAGACCCUUCUUUUUCUCGCCUCGCUAUGGAACUGCCAUCUCUUGACCUGUACUGGGUCAAUGUGGCCAUCUGGAUCUGCCUGAUCGGUUACUAUUUCCUUUACGUUGCUUACUGGGUAUCUUAUCGACCAUCCACAGAUAAGGAUGAAAUGGGAAGACGUCGCCCCAGGCGGAGUGGAAGUAUUACCAGUCUUCAUUGAAUCUGAAUAUGACAGCACAGAAAUGCAUUGACAGAGUCUGGACCUUGUACGCACCUUCAUUCGAGGAUUUCUCUAAUCAUCGCCCAGAAGCGCUACACGACGAAAGAAAAAACCAAAUGGUUUUUUCGUUAACCGUUACUUCUGCUUCUUCGCCGAUAAUGAUCAUUCCAAAUCUAUGCAGAAUGGAAUGGAGAAUUCAUGAGUACCGAAAAGAUAAGUUCGUGAGCUUCAACGUUAACUAUUCAAGUUGCCAGUUAGCUGAUUAUUCCACACCAAGGUACAAGAUAAUAAAGGAUGUUUCUUGUCGCUGUGAAGAACGGCUUUUUCUUCCUGGUACAUUAGCAGUUUAAGAAAAAAUUGUCAAGUCCUAGGCAGAAGAUUUUUAUAUUAACAAUUAAAUAUAUUAAUGCUUUAUUUUAAAUAUAUGUAUUCAUCAACGUUUUUAAAAUUAGUUUUUAUGGAGUUUCUAAUUGUGUAAUUGAGUUAUACCUCAUUUGCAUCAUAAUGUAACUGAAGUACAAAUAUUGGUUAAGUAUUUUAACUAAUAAUUUGCUCUUUAAGGAAAGUUUUUUUUUUUUCUUGUCCCAAGAUGUGUAAUCUAAUUAAAGAUGUUCUCAUAAACGGA